CCGAGUUUACAACUCCAACCCAUGUGAACAUACCUAUACUGUUGCCUUCGGCGGGAUUGACCGGGCGCCUCGUGGCCCCGGAUCAGGCGCCCCCGCCUAGGACACCCUUAACUCUUGUUUCUAUAUUGGAAUUCUUCUGAGGUAGAUCUAGCAAAUAAAUUA
rnacentral:misc_RNA from 1 species